UACGUAGGGGCCGAGCGUUGUCCGGAGUUACUGGGCGUAAAGCGCGCGCAGGCGGCUCGUCAAGCCUGACGUGAAAGCCCCCGGCUCAACCGGGGAGGGUCGUCGGGGACUGGCGGGCUUGAGGUCGGCAGGGGUUGGUGGAAUUCCCGGUGUAGUGGUGAAAUGCGUAGAUACUGGGAGGAACACCAGUGGCGAAGGCGGCUACCUGGACCGGUUCUGACGCUGAGGCGCGAAAGCGUGGGUAGCAAACAGG
rnacentral:rRNA from 1 species